rnacentral:misc_RNA from 2 species
UAACCAUUCAAGCCUUGGCUUGGUAUUGGGGUUUCGCGGUUCUGCGGCCCUUAAAAUCAGUGGCGGUGCCGUCUGGCUCUAAGCGUAGUAAUUCUCUCGCUAUAGGGUCCCGGCGGUGGCUUGCCAAAACCCCUCUAUUUUCUUAC